AUGUAUACAUGUUCAUAUAUACAAAAUAAUCAAACCAAAACAACAAUCACCUCGACAAACUGUGUUUCCUUUGAAUUGCUUAUUUUUAUAUAUUUCAUAUCUUAACAAUUGUAAAUCUAAAUGAUAAUAAAAAAUAUAUUUUUAGCUUCUUUAAAGAUUUCAAAUUCUUGUUUUUCUUCUCCAUUUAAGACAGAUGUUUAUUUUUAUAUGAUGUCUAGGUUUUAUAAAGUCCAGGUAAGAGGAUGCUUUCAUUUUUUCUUUCUAUAUUUCUCAUGAUAGAAUAAUGGAAAGUGAUCAAACCGGGAAAUGGAAGAGUUUAAGCAAACGGAAUUUUUUUACCAAAUUAUUAAAACAACAUGGACAGGUUUUCUUUUUUAAAAAAAAAUGACUGACAAAGUUAGUUUUGUAAAGUAUUUCUUGCAACUAUUUAAUUAAACUCAAGUCUCAUGUAGUAUAAUUCAAUUCUUAUGUAGUGUAGCCUCUUCUUUGCAAGAAAGCAUCAUUUUAGGGUAAGAGCCAUUUCUCAGAUGUUCACCUUACUUUCUGUAGUAAGGCUUCAACAUGCUUGUGACUGCCUAUAACCCUAUCUUCAUCUUUCAAGGCCUGUGGAUACUGAAAACAAAACAAUGAAAGAACAAGACCUCUGAUAGAUUUCAUGGGCUUCUUGGAGGACCAACGUCAGUCAAUGGAAGUGUGAUGACUUAUCAGAGGCUUCCUUGGUUGCAGUACAGAAGAUGCAAUGCCAGCAGUGCUUUUUCAGGAGCUCCCUCUGAAGAAGAUCAUGGCUCAGUUACCAUGGACACCAAGAAGCUAUGCAGCUUUUUAUUCUUUUUACUUCCUUCAUUAUGUGCCCUCCCAGGAAAUAUAUUUUCAUUAGUAACUAGGUUUUGAAACUUUUGCCAAGACACCAGCCUAACCUAUUGCUCUCUAAACAAAUACCUUCAGUAUCUAAUACAUAGGUAUAUGCCAGUCUGAGCCAACUGUGCUAUUAGGAAACUAAUAAAUACUCCUUUGCUUCCUAUUUAAUGAGAAAAAGCACGACAAUAUUGCUCAUGCCAGAUCAGGUUUUGAUUGGUAUGUGCUUAUCCUUCAUAAACAAAUGUAUUUUAUAUGAAAAACCACAGGGGAAAUAUUUUUAUUUAUUUUAUUAGUUGUACAAAAGCCAUGUUGGCAACUGAAGAACCAAUAAAAUAAAAUUGUCUCAUGUGGUUCUUAUUAUGGAAUCAAAUAGUAAUGUAAAAGGCAAGCACACACCAAUCAUAAUUCCAUCUGGCUGAAAGAACAGGAAAAUGUGGCUCCAUUUUCAUUAGGAAAAGGAGGCAUAUAUUUCAUAAUGUGUUCAAAUGUGGCUCUAAAGGUACUCCCAGUACACUACUGCAUUUUGUACCACUCAUGGGGUGCCAUAUCUACUGAUGCAGGUUAAUGUAAUCAAAGUGACUUGAAAGGAGAGGACUGCUGUUAGCCUUGCAUCUGCAUUAAUAGAGCACCAACAGAAGCUAGAGCAACAUUUCUUGGCAUUCUGGAAAGAAAUGCAUGUUGAACCAGUAAGCAAUAUGUAUAGCCCUUGCAAUAUACACUUGGCAUAUUUGCAGCAAGUAAGUUGCCAUUCAUGUAACCACCAAAAAUACAUUCCAGAAUGUUUACUCUUUUCAGUAAGCAGAUAAUACCAUUCAAGCUCUGGACUUAAAAGAUUGCAUGCAUAAAUAUUUUCUAAAUUCCUUUAGUGCUGUUUUUGGUUUAUCUUCAAGGAAAUAUAAGGGUAGCUAUUAUCAAUAGAAGGUAGGUAUUCAUUUGUAAGAGGUUGGGUCAGCAAGACACUGCUCUAUUGAAUCAUAUCUGGGACAACAUGGAGUGGUCAUUUGGGCCUCUGGGAAGUGUGGCAUGGAAGAGUAGUUCUUUAUUAAGA
ensembl:lncRNA novel transcript